AGCAGUGUGGCCUAGUGGAUAGGGCAUGGGCCUGGGAGUCAGAAGGACCUAGGUUCUAAUCUUGGCUCUGCCA
rnacentral:tRNA from 1 species